CAACCCGACCGGUCUCAGUUUUAGAUUGGUUUCCGUACGAUUCGGUCUCAAAAUUUCUGUUCAUUCAGUAUUGUUUUGUAUUUUUUUGUAAUUGAAAAAAUUUAGGUGUCAAUGACAAGAUCCCAGAGAAAAUUCGCGAUCACAGACAAGUUUCUGCCAAGGCUCGCUAAAAACCUGUGCACCAGAAAAGGCAGCCGUCGAGCCAAUACCGGGAACCGGCUAGAACACGCCGUCCUCACCCACAUCCAGCACGUGCCGUAGAUCAGCCCAGACCAGACCAGACCGCCCCAUCACCCCCACCACCAGCCCACUAACACCAUGGCCCGCGGUGACGAAUGCAAGACUGCUACCAAAGCUACUCACGCAUGCAAGCAAUUCGACGUCUCAGCCCCUAUCAAAAAACCUGUCGCAGCAUCAAUAAGCAAUCCACCCAAGAAGCCGGAGCAGAAGAACUACGGCGCCUGGGGCUCCACCUUCAAAGACAAGAAAACAUUCCUGGACAUGCAUUUCUGCUGAAUCACCACCGCCGCUACAUCAUCACAAACUAACGUCACGACAUAAUUUAAUUUUAGUAAUUGGCCAAAAAUAUUAAUCUACCAAAAUGUAUUAUUAAAUAAAUUACUAAUCUUUAAAAAAAUGUUUGUGUCGUUGCUUACUCUUUAUAUUUCGGGUGGAUCGCACUAUUCCGGUUAUUAGAAUUAGAUUUCAUAAUAUUGCAAUAAUUAUCUGUUGUGCCAUUUAAUUAAUUAAAAAGUUUAGUAAUUGCAGAAAUUGAGAUAAAAAUAAAUAAUGAAAAUAUCAUUAGAUUAGAUAUUCAUGUAGAUAAAGGUAUCAAGCAAGUUUUUGGUAUUUAAGAAUAUAAAGUAACGUUUUUAAUCUAUGUUAUCAGAUAGACAGAAACACUUACGUGAGUUUGAUGGAUAAUUACCUUAUUUUUUCUGUUCUCGUUUUUUGGUGGUUGUAUUUUCGAACAUAGAUCAAUUUUCUGAAGCAUUGGGCAAAUUAGGGGAUUUAGGCUCAAAUUUGGAAAAAUCAAAUGUCAAUAAAUUAUAAUGAAUUUAGGUUGUCCUUUAGACAAGCUUUUCUCAUCACUACAAUAAAGUAAUCACCAUCAUAUCGGCAGCAUAAUUCACAAACUUUGACGUAUGUUAUUGACAUAUUAUACGAAAUUGAAAUCCAAUGUAACAAAAAAACAAAAUCCUUUGUGGAUAUCAUACAGUAGAUUGAUGACAUAUCUGUGUUGAUUGAUGUUUAUUUUAAUACGUAGUCAAUGAAGAUCAAAUUAGUGAAUAAGCCAGCAGUACUGUGCGUGAUUUUCUAUUUAAAUUCAUUAAUUACAAGCCUGUCUGAAUUAUAAAGAUUUUUAAAAGUUCUCUAUUGAGGUGGCGAUGAAACCAACAGUUUAUAUUUUCCAUAAUUCAAAAAUUUAACUGCUAACAUCAUUAUUUUAUUUCAUUUGCGUAUUUUCAAUAAUAUAGUGAGUUCCACCUAUAUUUUCUUUACGGUGUAGGGAUCUCUCGCGUACUAACAAUCAUUUGUAUCAUUUUAAUUAAAGUAUCAUCAUCCGCAUUAGUUUUUGUGUUACAACCUGACGAUUAAGGAUUGAGACUAAAAUGUAGAUUGGUUGCAAGUGAAUAAAAACGAUAGAAUUAAUUAAUUUAUUUAAUA